AGAGAGAGAGAUUGUUUAGCAGAGCAGAGGAAGUGAUGGGGCUGGUCUCACUGCCUUCGUAAACAGGUCUCUUCUAAUCUUCCAUUCAUGGUCUCUUGAAUUUAUCUUUGAUCCCUUGAUGGUGUACGAGUGGUCACAGUAAUUUAUCUUUCAUGAUCACUGGAAUUUACCUAUUAAUCUGCAACAACAAUCAUUUUUGAAGAAGGGAGGCUAAGAAACGAUGUUUUUAUCACCCACCGAUCAUGAAAUUUUUGCUACAUUUCCUGUUUCAAUUGAGUUAAUUAAGCUUUGUCAAGUAGUAUUUGUUUACCUCUGUACGAGUGGUUGCGAGCUUGGCGACGUGAUCCUUCGGUAGGACCGAUCGAACCUGCUCUAUGCUCGCGCGUGUUGUUAUAGAUUGGAAUGAUUUUGAAAGACUCUUUCAUUCUCGUGCUUCUGCUCACACACGCGCAGUAUGUGAUUUGGGUUGUGAGCACUGGGUUUUGCUGUAGAUUGCAAAAGAUUGCUUUUCAACCUGUACUUCCAGUUUUCCUUUCGUUGAGCACAAAAUAUUGACAUAUAGAAGCUCCAAUACCAUUUGAGCACAAAAUAUUGACAUAUAGAAGCUCCAAUACCAUAUAUCGCUAGUUCUUAAUUGUGUUUAAUUGGGUCAUAUUAUUAUCUUUUUGAUCAUUCCCUUUAAGUUGUCGAAUUUGCAGGAAAAGAUGAUAAUUUUACAUGUCUCAGCCGAUGGAAUAAAAAGUGCAAAGUUGACCCGGAAUUUAAAUUUUCGUCAAAGUUUGAAGGUCCAAUUGAUGGAAUUUUUUUAAAUGACGGUCUAACAUAAAUCAAAAUAGAGAGAGUAUAAAGGGAGCCUAUGUUGUGGACCUAUUUUAUUUGGGUCAGAAUGCAUUUGUUGCCCAUGAAUGAUUUCUAUCUCACCUCAAAAGCUAAGUGUUUCGCUUAAAUCUCUUGUAUUUAUGUUUGUCCAUCCUUGUUUUAGCACGCGGACGUGCAUUUCUGUGUCUCAAGUUUUAGGUUUGAUCAUCACUGUCACAUAUGAUGAUUCUUCCAUCUUAAACACUGUCACAUAUGAUGAUUCUUCCAUCUUAAACACAAUGUUUUACACCGUCGCAAAAUUAAGUCUUUGAAGGAUCUAGUUUUCUCUGAUGGCUACUGAAGAGCCUAAAGAUCCAUUUAAAGCAAUGGACCGGAAAAAUAUGGGUAGUUCUGAUGUGCAGAAUGAGCCCAGCACUGGCCUAGUGAUAAAGAAACGAUUGCCACAAAAGAUUAGGCAAAUUCCAAAGUGCUAUUUUCUUCCUCGGAGAUCGAUACCCUCUGCCAUUGCCAUUUACGGGGCAUGGAUUGCUGGUGGAAUUGGUGCUGGGAUGCUGUUGGAGGUCUAGAUAAAGAAGGUCAAAGAGGAUGGUGGUGUCAUCUGGGAGUUUGACAAGUAAAGGUUCGAUGGUAUGUUUCCUAAUCCCUGGCUUACAAUUUAGAGGACAACCUAAUACUGGACUCAAUUCCAAAGUUUUCUUCUCUGAUUAGCUUCGGAUUGUUUGCUGCAAUGGGGGAAACUCAAUUUGGAGUACUUUGAAUUGUUCUACAUGCUUGAAUUCUUUCAUGUUUUCAAGGGAAAAUGUUAAUAUAUGUUUGGAUCUUGUUUUAACA